rnacentral:lncRNA from 1 species
CCAGGGGCAAUUCCCAUGCCGAUGCAAAUGCAGAUUCCUGCAGCUUCUUAUUUACCGGAACGGCAGGUGACAGCUGGCACUUAUCAAACGGAGCAGCAGCCUGUUUAUUACUUGCAUGCUGCUCCUGGCACUGGUGGUUUGUAUUCAGCUCCGUCAACGCGACCGCCAGCCAGUCAAGCGUAUUACGGAGUGCAGAGGAUCGUACAGGAACAGCCUAUGUACAAUUUAGUACCGGCGUCAGCACCAGCACCCGGUUCCAUUCAGCAGCAGCAGGCUAAAAUUGGGGGUUAUAGUGAAGGGGUUGGGGUUGUGCAAGUGGGGUAUGAUGGCGCAG